AGCAGCGUGGCUUACUGGAAAGAGCACGGGCUUGGGAGUCCGAGGUUGUGGGUUCUAAUCCCGGCCCUGCCA
rfam:Ornithorhynchus anatinus chromosome X5, whole genome shotgun sequence.